GAGUUUGAUCCUGGCUCAGGACGAACGCUGGCGGCGUGCCUAAUACAUGCAAGUAGAACGCUGAAGAGAGGAGCUUGCUCUUCUUGGAUGAGUUGCGAACGGGUGAGUAACGCGUAGGUAACCUGCCUUGUAGCGGGGGAUAACUAUUGGAAACGAUAGCUAAUACCGCAUAACAAUAGGUGACACAUGUCAUUUAUUUGAAAGGGGCAAUUGCUCCACUACAAGAUGGACCUGCGUUGUAUUAGCUAGUAGGUGAGGUAACGGCUCACCUAGGCGACGAUACAUAGCCGACCUGAGAGGGUGAUCGGCCACACUGGGACUGAGACACGGCCCAGGCUCCUACGGGAGGCAGCAGUAGGGAAUCUUCGGCAAUGGGGGCAACCCUGACCGAGCAACGCCGCGUGAGUGAAGAAGGUUUUCGGAUCGUAAAGCUCUGUUGUAAGUCAAGAACGAGUGUGAGAGUGGAAGGUUCACACUGUGACGGUAGCUUACCAGAAAGGGACGGCUAACUACGUGCCAGCAGCCGCGGUAAUACGUAGGUCCCGAGCGUUGUCCGGAUUUAUUGGGCGUAAAGCGAGCGCAGGCGGUUUGAUAAGUCUGAAGUUAAAGGCUGUGGCUCAACCAUAGUUCGCUUUGGAAACUGUCAAACUUGAGUGCAGAAGGGGAGAGUGGAAUUCCAUGUGUAGCGGUGAAAUGCGUAGAUAUAUGGAGGAACACCGGUGGCGAAAGCGGCUCUCUGGUCUGUAACUGACGCUGAGGCUCGAAAGCGUGGGGAGCGAACAGGAUUAGAUACCCUGGUAGUCCACGCCGUAAACGAUGAGUGCUAGGUGUUGGAUCCUUUCCGGGAUUCAGUGCCGCAGCUAACGCAUUAAGCACUCCGCCUGGGGAGUACGACCGCAAGGUUGAAACUCAAAGGAAUUGACGGGGGCCCGCACAAGCGGUGGAGCAUGUGGUUUAAUUCGAAGCAACGCGAAGAACCUUACCAGGUCUUGACAUCCCGAUGCUAUUUCUAGAGAUAGAAAGUUACUUCGGUACAUCGGUGACAGGUGGUGCAUGGUUGUCGUCAGCUCGUGUCGUGAGAUGUUGGGUUAAGUCCCGCAACGAGCGCAACCCCUAUUGUUAGUUGCCAUCAUUCAGUUGGGCACUCUAGCGAGACUGCCGGUAAUAAACCGGAGGAAGGUGGGGAUGACGUCAAAUCAUCAUGCCCCUUAUGACCUGGGCUACACACGUGCUACAAUGGUUGGUACAACGAGUUGCGAGUCGGUGACGGCAAGCUAAUCUCUUAAAGCCAAUCUCAGUUCGGAUUGUAGGCUGCAACUCGCCUACAUGAAGUCGGAAUCGCUAGUAAUCGCGGAUCAGCACGCCGCGGUGAAUACGUUCCCGGGCCUUGUACACACCGCCCGUC
rnacentral:rRNA from 1 species